rnacentral:rRNA from 1 species
AUUGAACGCUGGCGGCAGGCCUAACACAUGCAAGUCGAGCGGAUGAAGGGAGCUUGCUCCUGGAUUCAGCGGCGGACGGGUGAGUAAUGCCUAGGAAUCUGCCUGGUAGUGGGGGAUAACGUCCGGAAACGGGCGCUAAUACCGCAUACGUCCUGAGGGAGAAAGUGGGGGAUCUUCGGGCCUCACGCUAUCAGAUGAGCCUAGGUCGGAUUAGCAAGUUGGUGGGGUAAAGGCCUACCAAGGCGACGAUCCGUAACUGGUCUGAGAGGAUGAUCAGUCACACUGGAACUGAGACACGGUCCAGACUCCUACGGGAGGCAGCAGUGGGGAAUAUUGGACAAAGGGCGAAAGCCUGAUCCAGCCAUGCCGCGUGUGUGAAGAAGGUCUUCGGAUUGUAAAGCACUUUAAGUUGGGAGGAAGGGCAGUAAGUUAAUACCUUGCUGUAUUGACGUUACCAACAGAAUAAGCACCGGCUAACUUCGUG